rnacentral:rRNA from 1 species
GGGGCCGUGAGAGUGGCGCACGGGUGCGCAACGCGUAUGCAACACCCCGACUGGCGGAUAGCCGGUGGAAACGCCGGAUAAUACGCCAUGGUUCCCUAGGAGGGCAUCCUCCUGGGGAUAAAGUUUCGGCGGCCGGGGACGGGCAUGCGUGCCAUUAGAUGGUCGGCGGGGUGACGGCCCACCGAGUCGACGAUGGCUAGGGGAUCUGAGAGGACGGUCCCCCACACUGGUACUGAGACACGGACCAGACUCCUGCGGGAGGCAGCAGUAAGGGAUAUUGGGCAAUGGGGGCAACCCUGACCCAGCCAUGCCGCGUGAGGGAAUGAGGCCCUACGGGUCGUGAACCUCUUUUGUCCAGGGACAAGGACUCCCACGGGAUGGGAGUUUGAGGGUACUGGAAGAAUAAGCAUCGGCUAACUCAGUGCC